AGUGAACGCUGGCGGUAGGCCUAACACAUGCAAGUCGAACGGCAGCACAGUAAGAGCUUGCUCUUACGGGUGGCGAGUGGCGGACGGGUGAGGAAUACAUCGGAAUCUACUUUUUCGUGGGGGAUAACGUAGGGAAACUUACGCUAAUACCGCAUACGACCUACGGGUGAAAGCAGGGGAUCUUCGGACCUUGCGCGAUUGAAUGAGCCGAUGUCGGAUUAGCUAGUUGGCGGGGUAAAGGCCCACCAAGGCGACGAUCCGUAGCUGGUCUGAGAGGAUGAUCAGCCACACUGGAACUGAGACACGGUCCAGACUCCUACGGGAGGCGGCAGUGGGGAAUAUUGGACAAUGGGCGCAAGCCUGAUCCAGCCAUACUGCGUGGGUGAAGAAGGCCUUCGGGUUGUAAAGCCCUUUUGUUGGGAAAGAAAAGCAGCAGGUUAAUACCCCGCUGUUCUGACGGUACCCAAAGAAUAAGCACCGGCUAACUUCGUG
rnacentral:rRNA from 1 species